rnacentral:lncRNA from 1 species
CAUUAAACAAUAUUGUCAAGUGGGAUGUUCUAAAAACACUGAGACUUCUAAAUGUCAUUUUAGUAAGGUUGGGUUAAGUUCAUUUUUGGGUGAUCAAAACUUUAUGAUCUCCAGGAUGCUGCAAAAGACUUCUGAGAGACCAGAGGUGGCAAAGUUAGCCUUUGAAACAGAAGACAAAAUAUCAAGCAACAGUUUUUCUGAAUGUUGUGUUAAAGUGCUGGAGAAUAUGGAGCAAGAGUCUGCAAAGGGGAGCACAUCUGAAAGCUACAGUGCAAUGCAAGAACAACUGGAAAGGUCAAAGGAAGAACUAAAAAUACAGCAAGGGGAAUUAGAAAAGGCCAAAAAAGAGGCUCAGAAGUGGUACCGAGAACUUGGCUUUGUAGAAGCAAGAUAUGAGGAGGUCAGAACUCAGU